GUCCCCGGUACCCUCUUCCUGUUCUUUCAGCGCCUCCUCCGUGGCGUAUUUCUGGAUGUACUCUGCACGGGGUGGGAGAAAGACAACAAGGGCAGUGAGUGGGCAGGCAUGUGCUUUGGCGACCCCAAAAAGCUGGCAAGGCUGCGGAGGUUCAAACUUACCUUGAACACCAGGGGGGACAAAGAUGACAGUAAUCAUGAUCACUACAGCUAAGGAGAAUCCCAUAGGGAGACUUCUUUGGGACAGGGUUUCUGCAUUUUGCCCCCUGAGGAAAGGGGUAUUGGGAAGAGCAACACAGCAGGCUCAGCUUGCAGGGGAAUGUGUGUGCUGCAGCACCCCAAGAACUCUUCAGGGACCAGGGAAAUGGGAGCCCCACGCUUUCUUU
rnacentral:lncRNA from 1 species